ensembl:snRNA U5 U5 spliceosomal RNA
UAGCUCGGGUUUCUCUUCAUUCACGCAUAAAUCUUUUGCCUUUUACUAAAGAGUUUCAUGGAGAGGAACACUGGGGGUUUCAGCUUAUUUUUGUGGGCCUUGCUUUCAGCAUAGCU